rnacentral:tRNA from 1 species
GCCUGCGUAGCUCAGCUGGCUAGAGCGGCUGCCUUGUAAGCAGUAGGUCGGGAGUUCGAAUCUCUCCGCAGGCU